rnacentral:rRNA from 1 species
AACGAACGCUGGCGGCAUGCCUAACACAUGCAAGUCGAACGAACCCUUCGGGUCUUGUCGCGCACGGGUUCGUAACGCGUGGGAACCUUCCCUUAGGUUUGAAAUACCUCCCCGAAAGGGGUACUAAUACCGGACAAUAUCUUAUACCGAAAGAUUUAUCGCAUUGGUAUGGGCGCACGUUGGAUUAGCUAGUUGGUAGGGUAAAAGCCUGCCAAGGCGACGAUCCAUAGCUGGUCUGAGAGAAUGAUCAGCAACACUGGGACUGAGACGCGGCCCAGACUCCUACGGAAGGGAGGAGUGGGGAAUAUUGGAAAAUGGGCGAAAGCCUGAUCCAGCAAUGACCGGUGAGUGAUGAAGGUAUUAGGGUUGUAAAGCUCUUUUAACCGGGAUGAUAAUGACAGUACCGGGAGAAUAAGCCCCGGCUAACUACGUG